AUAUAUAAACAAUGAUGCAAUCAUUUCCAAGCACAUAUCUGAUGAUGCCAUGUGGAAAUAAAAAAUAAUAAAAUACAUAUAU